GCUAGGCAUGGUGGCAUGCACCUGUAGUCCCAGCUAUUCAGGAGGGCUGAGCCCAGGAGUUCUGGGCUGUAGUGCACUAUACCAAUCAGGUGUCCGCACUAAGUUUAGCAUCAAUAAGGUAUACCCCCAGGGAGCUGGGGACCACCAGGUUGCCUAAGAAUGGGUGAACCGUUCCGGGUCGGAAAUGGAGCAGGUCAAAGUUCCCAUGCAGAUCAGUAGUGGGAUCAUGCCUAUGUACAGCCACUGCACUCCAGCCUGGGCAACAUAGU
rnacentral:SRP_RNA from 1 species